rnacentral:rRNA from 1 species
AGUGAACGCUGGCGGUAGGCCUAACACAUGCAAGUCGAACGGCAGCACAGUAAGAGCUUGCUCUUACGGGUGGCGAGUGGCGGACGGGUGAGGAAUACAUCGGAAUCUACUUUUUCGUGGGGGAUAACGUAGGGAAACUUACGCUAAUACCGCAUACGACCUACGGGUGAAAGCAGGGGAUCUUCGGACCUUGCGCGAUUGAAUGAGCCGAUGUCGGAUUAGCUAGUUGGCGGGGUAAAGGCCCACCAAGGCGACGAUCCGUAGCUGGUCUGAGAGGAUGAUCCGCCACACUGGAACUGAGACCAGGUCCCGACUCCUACGGGAGGCAGCAGUGGGGAAUAUUGGGCAAUGGGCGCAAGCCUGAUCCAGCCAUACCGCGUGGGUGAAGAAGGCCUUCGGGUUGUAAAGCCCUUUUGUUGGGAAAGAAAAGCAGCAGGUUAAACCCCCGCUGUUCUGACGGUACCCAAAGAAAAAGCAACGGCUAACUUCGUG